rnacentral:rRNA from 1 species
GACGAACGCUGGCGGCGUGCUUAACACAUGCAAGUCGAACGAUGAAGCCGGAGCUUGCUCUGGUGAAUUAGUGGCGAACGGGUGAGUAACACGUGAGUAACCUGCCCUUGACUCUGGGAUAACUGCGGGAAACUGUAGCUAAUACCGGAUACGACCCUCGGAGGCAUCUCCUGGGGGUGGAAAGAAUUUUGGUCAAGGAUGGACUCGCGGCCUAUCAGCUAGUUGGUGAGGUAAAGGCUCACCAAGGCGACGACGGGUAGCCGGCCUGAGAGGGUGACCGGCCACACUGGGACUGAGACACGGCCCAGACUCCUACGGGAGGCAGCAGUGGGGAAUAUUGCACAAUGGGCGCAAGCCUGAUGCAGCAGCGCCGCGUGAGGGAUGACGGCCUUCGGGUUGUAAACCUCUUUUAGCAGGGAAGAAGCGAAAGUGACGGUACCUGCGGAAAAAGCACCGGCUAACUACGUGCCAGCCGCCGCGGUAA